AGACAUUAAGCGUGCACGGUGGAUGCCUUGGCCUAGGACGGCUAAGAAGGACGCGACUAACCUGCGAAAAGCUUCGGGGAGGCGGUUUGUAGCCUUUGAUCCGGAGAUAUCCGAAUGAGGAAACUCAUCCUGUUUUUAACGGGAUAUCACGACGGUAACACGUCGGGAAGCGAACCCGGGGAAGUGAAACAUCUCAGUACCCGGAGGAAAAGAGAACAAUAUGAGUUGCGUUCCGUCCUGACGAAAUUUAUUUCGAACGGAUGGAACGCAACUCUCGUGAUUCCCCUAGUAGCGGCGAGCGAAAAGGGGGAAGCCCAAACUGGGACCUGAAUUUAAGGUUCGACCUUAAUGAAUAAUUCACAAGGUCGAACCUUGGCUUCAGGUUCCAGGGUUGUAAGAUGUGAACACCCAAUUUAUUGGAAAAGAGUUACAAAAUGUCUGUAUAGCGGAAGCUGCUGGGAAGCAGCGCCCCAGAGGGUAAUGGCCCCGUACGCGAAAUACAUGAUGACUCUUGUUUAUAUUCUUGAGUAACUCGAGACACGAAUAGCUCGAGUGAAUCUGCCGGAACUAACCGGUAAGGCUGAAUACGUCCUAUGACCGAUAGUGAACUAGUACCGUGAGGGAAAGGUGAAAAGAACCCCGAGAGGGGAAUGAAAUAGACCUGAAACCGUGUACGUACAAGGGGUCGGAGUGGAUUCCCGCAAGGGUUUACCAUGACGGCAUGCCUAUUGAAGAAUGAGCCGGCGAGUGUAUAUAUCUUGCAUAGCUAAGCCCUUCCGGGGCGGAGCUUCAGGGAAACCGAGCGUGAAUAGCGCUACAAGUAGGAUAUAUACGACCCGAAGCCAGAUGAGCUUGCCAUGAGCAGGGUGAAGUCCGUCGAAAGACGAAUGGAGGCCCGAACCCGUAGGUCGUUCAACGCCUUGGGAUGACUUGUGGUAAGGAGUGAAAAGCUAAUCGAAUCUGGGAAUAGCUGGUUCUCUCCGAAACAGCUUUUGGGCUGGCGUUGCGAAAGGUGUGCAUGGGGGUAGAGCACUGGAAGGGACCAACAGGGAGAAAUCUCGUGGUUCCUAUCAAACUCCGAAUACCAUGCGCUCGCGCAGCAGUUAGAAGGUGGGGGCGAAGCUCCAUCGAUCGAGAGGGGAAGAGCCCUGAUCGCCAAUUAAGGCCCCAAAAUCGACAUUCAGUACAUCAACAAGGAAGUGAGGGUCCACUGACAGUGAGGAUGUUGGCUUAGAAGCAGCCACCAUUUAAAGAAAGCGUAACAGCUCACUCAUCGAGGAUCCUUGCGCCAAAGAUGAUCGGGGUUAAAUGUCGUGCCGAAAUUGCGGGUUCCGGAACAUCAGUUUGGAUUUAAAGGUCUGACUUUUUUGAAUUCUUAAAGUAAGACUUUGGAAUUCAAUCCAAACUGAUGUUCCGGAGCGGUAGGAGAGCGUUCCGUUCGCGCUGAAGCUUAAGGGGUAACCCAAGGUGGAGCGUACGGAAGUGAGAAUGCCGGUACAAGUAACCACAAUGCAGGUGAGAACCCUGCACGUCGAAAGACCAAGGUUUCCUCAGCUAUGGUGAUCAACUGAGGGUUAGUCGGGCCUAAGGGGAUGGCGAAAGCCGCACCCGAUGGACACACGGUCAAUAUUCCGUGACCGUUUUUAGAGGCUAUGGAGUGACGAACUGCUGUAUGCACUGCCGGUUAUUGGAUUCCGGUUGUUGGUAUGAGGGCGCGCGUUAGGCAAAUCCGGCGCGCACUAUCCCAAGUACUGACACAAUUUCCUCCUACGGGGGGAGAAAGAGCGCACAGCGCGGUUUCAAGAAAAUCUUCUACGCACCAACUCUAAAGACGACCGUACCGCACACCGACACAGGUGGUCAGGUCGAGAAGACUAAGACGAACGAGUAAGAUGUCCUCAAGGAACUCGGCAAAAAAGCGGCCGUAAGUUAGCGAUAAGGCCUUCCCUCACCACUUUUGAUGCUCAAAAGUGGCGAGGGACGCAGUGAAAGUUUUUCUGGCAACUGUUUACCAAAAACACAGCUCCCUGCAAACUCGUAAGAGGAAGUAUAGGGGGUGACACCUGACCAAUGCCGAAAGGUUAACCACGGUGGGUUCUUUAUAGCAAUAUAAAGAGCUGGACUGUGUAAGCCCCGGUGAAUGUCGGCGAUAACUAUAAGAUGAUUGUAGUUAAUAAAUUCGGCCAUAUGCUGGAAACCCCGAGUAUCUUCAAGUACUAGCCGCAAGGCAGUGAAAAUCUUGAAGUGCGGGCAAUCAGCAGGAAAGGCUCGCAAGCUUCAUAGAGGAAAUGUUCUUUAAGAUUAUCUCCCCUAUAGCUCAACAAUAGAGAGCAACAAGGGGAGUCCCAUCUGGCAACUCGUACACGUCAAGUGUAUGAGUUGCCUCCUCUGUGAAGCUUGUGAGAAUCCUCAGAGACUAAACGCCGAACUCAACUCUCUUAAUUGAGAACAACGAGAUGAUAUAGUCCGACCUUUGUAGCGAUACAAAGAAAUGCUUGCAGCUACCAAUAGCAAGCUAAAUAACAUAGGAGAAUCGUCCUAAGGUAGCGUAAUUCCUUGUCGGGUAAGUUCCGACGUGCACGAAUGGUGUAAUGACUGGAAAACUGUCUCGAGGACUCGCUCGGUGAAAAUGCACUUCCGGUGAAGAUGCCGGAUACCUGUAGUUAGACGAAAAGACCCCAGGAGCUUUACUACAGCUUCGUAUUGGCAUUGCGUGUUGCAUGCGUAGCAUAGAUGGGAGGAUUUGAAGCAUCGGUUUCGGCUGGUGUGGAUCCGUCAGUGAAAUACCAUUCUUGUUGUGUGCAAUGUCUAACCCCGUUGGGAUCCAACGGGGGACCGUGCGUGGCGGGUAGUUUUGGUGGGGCGCUAUCCUCCUAAAAAGUAACGGAGGAGUCUAUUAAGGUUCUCUAGGCGCGAAUGGAAACCGUGCCGAUAGUGUAAUGGCAUAAGAGAGCUUAACUGCGAGACGUACAUGUCGAGCAGAUGCGAAAGCAGAGCAUAGUGAACCGAUGGUACGCCUUAGACGCGGCCAGAGAUUAACGGAUAUAAGUUACCCUGGGGAUAACAGGCUAGUUCCGCCCAAGCGUCCAUAGCGACGGCGGAGUUCGGCACCUCGAUGUCGGCUCACCUUAGCGCGGGGGUGGAGAAGCUCCCAAGCGUUUGGCUGUUCGCCAAUUAAAAAGGUACGCGAGCUGGGUUCAGACCGUUCAGUGUCUCAUUCAAGAUGUCAUCUUGAAAUGGGGAAUUGAGCGGUCUGAAUCCACGAGGUUAGUAAGACAAAAAUCACGGCGGUUGCGCGUAGGAAUACGCGCGAAGAAAUCAACUGAUAUCGAUGAAAUCCGAUCGCGUUGUGUACGCGAGGACAACACCGAGGGAAUGGUUCGACUCCGCUCACCAUGAGCGAUAAGAAUUGACCCGUAGAGACUGAAUGUUGAUCGUCGAGAACCGACGAAGUUACAGUCCGAUCCUCCGAGUAAUCGGAGUAAACGUAGAUGCGUGAGACAGGUUGGUCUCCUAUCUACUACAGGCGUUGAUUCUUGAGGAGGGUCGUCCCUAGUAAAGAAUUGCUACUUCAGAGAGAGAUCUCUGAUGAUAAUGUGGCUUAUAACGGUGAAGUCUACGGUGCUUCUGGUUUUAGAGUUUGAUAUCUCGCGGUCCUGUUGAUAUCAAACUCGCUUGAGGACCAGAAUAGCACUAUGAUAAUACCGUGGGAAGUCGAUCAAAAAUAAAUCUAGCGUAUGUCGCAGAUUUUCUUGAUGGCGAUGGCAGUCUUAUGUUUCAGAUAAAGAAGCGUAAAGACGGAGCGUUGAAAAAACGCCUUAUGGCUACCAUAUGCUUUUAUCAAGAUACGCGACAUGAAAGAGAAUUGUAUUGGAUUCAGCAGAGGUUCGGUAUCGGCUGCAUUUCAAGAAGAAAUGACGGCAUGACUGAAUUGCGAAUCAAUGGGUAUGCGCAAGUGCGCGAUAUUCUAAAGAAGUUAAUUCCGUACAAAAGUUAUUCACCAUUUUUGGUUUGACCCCGUAACGACUCGCGCUGAAAGACGCGCGGACUCAUGUGUUGAGGAAUCGUUCCACAUAGAACGACAGCUCACAUGGGUAAGAUGCCAUCAUCCUCGUCCCGAUUAGUGGGAACGGAUGAAGAUAUAGUCUGCGCUCCUGGAAACAGGGGACGAAGCGACGAGAGGACCGGGAUGAACUGACCUCUGGUCUACCAGCUGUCCUGCCAAGGGCACCGCUGGGUAGCUAUGUCGGGUUGCGAUAACCGCUGAAAGCAUAUAAGCGGGAAACGUGCUCCAAGAUUAGGAAUCGUUAUGAGACUCCUAGGAGAUGACUAGGUUGAUAGGCUCUAGGUGGAAGCGCCGCAAGGCGUGGAGCCGAGGAGUACUAAUAUGUCCAGUCU
rnacentral:rRNA from 1 species